rnacentral:misc_RNA from 1 species
UAAAUUUUUAAGAAUUCAAUGCUUUCAAUUAAGAAGUUUAGUUCUUGCCAAAAGUAAUAUAUUUUGUAAAAAUUCAAUUCAUUUAAUGAACUCUCCUAUUAAAACCCCAAUAUAUAUUUGCUUCUUUGUAAAUAAGGGUAGAAUAGGAUAAGCAUUAUCAUUUUACUUUUCAAUGGCUUCAAACAAUAUAAUUCAAAUACAUUUUCCUUGUGUUUGGAUGGCGGAAUUUGAAAUAUGGAAUUUGAAUUUGAUAAAAGUAUAUG